AACGCACCUUGCGCUCCCUGGCAUUCCGGGGAGUAUGUCUGUUUGAGUGUCAUGAACUCUUCAACCCACCAGUUUCUUGUAAACUGGCUGGUGUUUGGAUUUUGAGCGUUGCUGGAUCUUCGGAUCGAAGCUCGUUCGUAAUAUAUUAGCAUCUCUAAUUCGAACUCGGAUUGACUCAGUGUAAUAGACUAUUCGCUGAGGACACGUGCUUGCAUGUGGCCGAAUGAGAUCUCAGUAGAGGCUUCCAACCCUUCUAGUCAACUUUAGAUUAGACCUCAGAUCAGGCAGGAUUACCCGCUGAACUUAA
rnacentral:misc_RNA from 1 species